rnacentral:rRNA from 1 species
UACGUAGGGUGCAAGCGUUAAUCGGAAUUACUGGGCGUAAAGCGUGCGCAGGCGGUUAUGUAAGACAGUUGUGAAAUCCCCGGGCUCAACCUGGGAAUUGCAUCUGUUGACUGCAUAGCUAGAGUACGGUAGAGGGGGAUGGAAAUUCCGGCGUGUAGCAGUGAAAUGCGUAGAUAUGCGGGAGGAACACCGAUGGCGAAGGCAAUCCCCUGGACCUG